rnacentral:rRNA from 1 species
UAGGGAAUAUUAGUAAUGGGCGAAAGCCUGAACUAGCAACGCCGCGUGUGCGAAGAAGGCCUUCGGGUUGUAAAGCACUUUUUGAGAGGAUGAGGAAGGACGGUACUCUCAGAAUAAGUCUCGGCUAACUACGUGCCAGCAGCCGCGGUAACACGUAGGAGGCGAACGUUAUCCGGAUUUACUGGGCGUAAAGCGCGUGUAGGUGGUUUGGUAAGUAGGGCGUGAAAGCUCCUGGCUCAACUGGGAGAGGCCGUUCUAAACUGCCGAGCUAGAGGAUGGUAGAGGGAGGUGGAAUUCCGGGUGUAGCGGUGGAAUGCGCAGAUAUCCGGAGGAACACCAGUGGCGAAGGCGGCCUCCUGGGCCACUCCUGACACUCAGACGCGAAAGCUAGGGUAGCAAACGG